rnacentral:misc_RNA from 1 species
UUUCCGUAGGUGAACCUGCGGAAGGAUCAUUAUCGUACAAAAUGUGAGGGGCAUGCGAGGGCUGUCGCUGACCCAAAAGUCGUGCACGCCCGAGUGUGUCCUCUUGCAUAAUAAUCCAUCUCACCCUUUGUGCAUCACCGCGUGGGCACCCUUCGGGAUCAUCUCGGAGGGGGGCUCGCGUUUUCACACAAUCCCCCCUUUUAAAAGUGUAGAAUGACCACAUUCAUGCAAUCAAUACAACUUUCAACAACGGAUCUCUUGGCUCUCGCACGAUGAAGAACGCAGC